rnacentral:rRNA from 1 species
AACGCGAAGAACCUUACCCAGGCUCGAAAUGUAGGUGGCGAUACCAGAGAUGGUAUUUUCCGUAAGGACGCCUAUAUAGGUGCUGCAUGGCUGUCGUCAGCUCGUGCCGUGAGGUGUUGGGUUAAGUCCCGCAACGAGCGCAACCCUUAUCAUUAGUUGCCAACACGCAAGGUGGGGACUCUAAUGAGACUGCCUAGGUUAACUAGGAGGAAGGUGAGGAUGACGUCAAGUCCGCAUGGCCUUUAUGUCUGGGGCUACACACGUGCUACAAUGGUCGGUACAGAAGGCAGCAAGACCGCAAGGUGGAGCAAAUCCGAAAAGCCGAUCUCAGUUCAGAUUGUAGUCUGCAACUCGACUACAUGAAGCUGGAAUUGCUAGUAAUGACGUGUCAGCAACAACGUCGUGAAUACGUUCCCGGGCCUUGUA